rnacentral:lncRNA from 1 species
CUUGCUUGAUCUUUCUGACCUCAGUUUGCUGAUCUGCAAAAUGAGACUAGUAAGAGCACCUGCAUCUCGGCUUGUUGUGAAGAUCAAACGCAACGGCGUGACUUGCAUAAAGCACCGGCUCCCGGGGCGGCCCAUGCUCCUUGCUCGAACCCUGCCACCCGUGCAAACGAUUCCAACCAGCCGCUGGAGGAUGAGGGACCACGUGGACCAGAGCUGAGCAGUCCCAGACAAGGCUCCAGAGAAGUGAGCCAGCCCAGCCAAGAUCCGCAGAGCCUCCUGUGUCACCCACUGCUGACCACAGAUGCACGAGCGAGUCCAGCCGAGUCCAGAGAACUGACCUAUCAGCUUG